UCGCCUGUUUAUCAAAAACAUAGCCCUAAGAAAAAUAAUUAGGGUAAGGUCUGCCCUAUGCGAUGUAAAUGGCUGCAGUACUCUGACUGUACAAAGGUAGCAUAAUAAUUUGGCUCUUAAUUGGGGUCUAGAAUGAAUGACUCGAUGGGAAGUUGCUGUCUCUAUACUACUAUUAGAAGUUUCUAUUUAAGUGAAAAAGCUUAAGAUUGUAAAAAGACGAUAAGACCCCUUGAUCUACUAAAUUUUGUUGGGGCAACAUAGGAACGAAAACUUCCUAAAAUAAUACCUAUAAAGUAUAAGUAAAGAAAAAGAUACCAUGGGGAUAACAGCAUAAUCAUAAUAUGGCUUAUGACCUCGAUGUUGGAUUUGGGAGGAGUAUAAGGUUAGAAACUAAUAUUUCAUGUUCUGUUCGAACAGAGAUCCCAACGUGAUCUGAGUUCAGACCGGAA
rnacentral:rRNA from 1 species